GCAAACUUGGUCAUUUAGAGGAAGUAAAAGUCGUAACAAGGUUUCCGUAGGUGAACCUGCGGAAGGAUCAUUAGUGAUGUCUUGGGUUUAUUGACUGUGAAGCUGUGGGGUGUGGUGUGUUGGGUGGUGGUGUCACAGUCGUGGUGCUGGGCGUCGUGGUGCCCGGUGGGGUGCCGCGGUGCUCAGUACAACAAUGCUGGCACACCCAAACAACCGCCGCAUAUCAACAACGCGACAAAAACCAUAACAACAACAACGCGAAACGUUACAACUCCCAGCAGCGGAUCUCUUGGCUCCUGCAUCGAUGAAGAACGCAGC
rnacentral:misc_RNA from 1 species